rnacentral:rRNA from 1 species
UACGUAGGGUGCAAGCGUUAAUCGGAAUUACUGGGCGUAAAGCGUGCGCAGGCGGUGAUGUAAGACAGUUGUGAAAUCCCCGGGCUCAACCUGGGAACUGCAUCUGUGACUGCAUCGCUGGAGUGCGGCAGAGGGGGAUGGAAUUCCGCGUGUAGCAGUGAAAUGCGUAGAUAUGCGGAGGAACACCGAUGGCGAAGGCAAUCCCCUGGGCCUGCACUGACGCUCAUGCACGAAAGCGUGGGGAGCAAACA